UAUUUGAAAAAAAAAUAUUUUUAGAUGGAAUAAUAUAUUUUUCAAUAAUUGAUAAUAUAUUACUUUGUAGCAAAGAAAAACAUCUGAAGGUAAAUCAGCAAAUAUUUCAUGAUAAACAAUAUUUUCUAUAUAAUAUUUUGACUCUGUAUAUUCAUUCCUUAUCAAAAACUUUAAUUCCAUCUUAUGAUAUAACAUAAGAAAGUGCAACAUAGAGUUGGUCAUGACUGAAUACUGGAGUGGGC
rnacentral:lncRNA from 1 species